rnacentral:rRNA from 1 species
GACGAACGCUGGCGGCGUGCUUAACACAUGCAAGUCGAACGGUAAGGCCCUUCGGGGUACACGAGUGGCGAACGGGUGAGUAACACGUGGGUGAUCUGCCCUGCACUUCGGGAUAAGCCUGGGAAACUGGGUCUAAUACCGGAUAGGACUCCGGACUGCAUGGUCUGGGGUGGAAAGCUUUUGCGGUGUGGGAUGGGCCCGCGGCCUAUCAGCUUGUUGGUGGGGUGAUGGCCUGCCAAGGCGACGACGGGUAGCCGGCCUGAGAGGGUGACCGGCCACACUGGGACUGGGAUACGGCCCAGACUCCUACGGGAGGCAGCAGUGGGGAAUAUUGCACAAUGGGCGCAAGCCUGAUGCAGCGACGCCGCGUGAGGGAUGACGGCCUUCGGGUUGUAAACCUCUUUCAGCACCGACGAAGCGCAAGUGACGGUAGGUGCAGAAGAAGGACCGGCCAACUACGUGCCAGCAGCCGCGGUAA